rnacentral:rRNA from 1 species
GUGAGGAAUAUUGCGCAAUGGAGGCAACUCUGACCCAGCCAUGCCGCGUGCAGGAUGACGGCCCUCUGGGUUGUAAACUGCUUUUAUACGGGAAGAAAAAAUACUACGUGUAGUAUACUGACGGUACCGUAAGAAUAAGGAUCGGCUAACUCCGUGCCAGCAGCCGCGGUAAUACGGAGGAUCCAAGCGUUGUCCGGAUUUAUUGGGUUUAAAGGGUGCGUAGGCGGAUCUUUAAGUCAGUGGUGAAAGCCUGCAGCUUAACUGUAGAAUUGCCAUUGAAACUGAAGAUCUUGAAUGUGGUUAAAGUAGGCGGAAUGUAUCAUGUAGCGGUGAAAUGCUUAGAUAUGAUACAGAACACCGAUAGCGAAGGCAGCUUGCUGAACCAUUAUUGACGCUGAGGCACGAAAGCGUGGGGAGCGAACAGGAUUAGAAACCCGUGUAGUCC